AGUGAACGCUGGCGGUAGGCCUAACACAUGCAAGUCGAACGGCAGCACAGUAAGAGCUUGCUCUUACGGGUGGCGAGUGGCGGAUGGGUGAGGAAUACAUCGGAAUCUACUUUUUCGUGGGGGAUAACGUAGGGAAACUUACGCUAAUACCGCAUACGACCUACGGGUGAAAGCAGGGGAUCUUCGGACCUUGCGCGAUUGAAUGAGCCGAUGUCGGAUUAGCUAGUUGGCGGGGUAAAGGCCCACCAAGGCGACGAUCCGUAGCUGGUCUGAGAAGAUGAUCAGCCACACUGGAACUGAGACACGGUCCAGACUCCUACGGGAGGCAGCAGUGGGGAAUAUUGGACAAUGGGCGCAAGCCUGAUCCAGCCAUACCGCGUGGGUGAAGAAGGCCUUCGGGUUGUAAAGCCCUUUUGUUGGGAAAGAAAAGCAGCAGGUUAAUACCCCGCUGUUCUGACGGUACCCAAAGAAUAAGCACCGGCUAACUUCGUG
rnacentral:rRNA from 1 species